rnacentral:rRNA from 1 species
ACAGCAGUAGCCGCGGUAAUACGUAGGGUGCGAGCGUUAAUCGGAAUUACUGGGCGUAAAGCGUGCGCAGGCGGUUCGUUAAGACAGAUGUGAAAUCCCCGGGCUUAACCUGGGAACUGCAUUUGUGACUGGCGAGCUAGAGUAUGGCAGAGGGGGGUAGAAUUCCACGUGUAGCAGUGAAAUGCGUAGAGAUGUGGAGGAAUACCGAUGGCGAAGGCAGCCCCCUGGGCCAAUACUGACGCUCAUGCACGAAAGCGUGGGGAGCAAACAGGAUUAGAGACCCGUGUAGUCCCUGUCUCUUAUAC